rnacentral:lncRNA from 1 species
GGACUUGGAAGAGGCGCAGGCCCCGGAGGCAGCGGAGGAAAGCGUUCAAGGAAGAGGCUGCAGCAGGAGCCGGCACGUCCCCGGGGGGCGGUGUCUGGGGAACAGCCCGGGCCUCCGCGUGGCUGCAGCGCGGGGCCUGACCGCCCAGUGGGGUCUGAAUCCACGUGGCUGGCCGGGCGGUUGGCGGCGGGCCCUGUUUGCUAGUGUGAAGCCUUUGCGGUUUAUUCGGAGGCAAGAGAGAGACAGCAGAGCGACGUGAGCAGAGCUGAGCUUCAGAGAGACCACCAGCAGUUCCGAGGGGACCCGGAGUCGAGACAGCUGGCAGGAGCUGGACUUGCGGCCCGGAAGGUGGUGGCAAUGCGAGGGGCAGGGAAGGCCUAACCCAGGCCAACAAGGGACCGGGGCAGCAGGUGUGCCGGAUGUUGACAGAAGGCAGAGCCUGCAGUCAUGUGAUGCCGGGGCCCAGGGCGAGGACAGGUGUCCACGGCGGUGCAUGAGCUUUUGACUUGGGAGACAGGACAAUAGCGGUGCCAUUAAAAGAAGUGAAACUCACUGGGGAAAAAACCCCUCCUAUUGGCUGGGUUCGUGGGGGAAAACGCUCUUCGGUUUUGCUCCCUCGGGGUUUGAAGGCCUCGCUGCUACCCAGGUCACUGCUGAUGAAUUCAGAGAGAGCACAUCCCCUUUCUGAACCAGGCAUCUCAAGAAGACGCUGGGAAGGCUUUUCUGCCUGGAAUUUGGCAAAGAAAGAGAAAUGUCUUCAUACGGGAAGUGAGAACUGACUGCUCUUCAGAGGAGAAGAAAAACUCAACUGGCCUGAUCCAGCAAGAGGCGGUCACACGUCUUCCCAGAGCCUGGAGGUGGCUGAGCGGCCGAAGACCCCCUGCAGCAGGUGGAAUGGGGCUCACCAUUUUCGGAUCCCCGUCUGGACGACAGCAUCUUGCUGGGGUCAGUGCCUCCGGAGAAACUGAAAAGAACGACAACAGAAACAAGGCAGGACACUGCAGACGUGGCAAGAACACUUGAUUCCUCUGUAGCAACAGAAUGUAAUCAAAUAUCAUACCAGAAAGCAGGAAGAUCCACUUUGAGCUUUCCAGUUUAAGGACACAGUCUGGUCUUUUUUUGUGGGUUGUUGUAAAAGUCUUAACCUCAGAAGAGCCUUUCUGUUCAUGGGCUAAAAUAGAGCAAAUCAAUAAUCAGAUGCAAAGUAGCAGACACUAUCUGCUCAGGUAAACAACUGCCCUCAAGGCUACUGAUGAUAAAAUCUCAACCCCCGUGGCUUCCUGGCUACCUGUUACACGGCUCCCGCGCUGUGUGUGCUGGGUUGCAUCACUUGAAAGGUCCGGCUCACCUUGUUCAGAUGUAGCUGUGGCUUCUACAAAACAAAUGUUGGUGCUUUUUUGAGCUAAGAUGAAUUGUUGCUUUGCCAAAAGAGAAAAUGACUUCUUCGCUAUGGUAUUUUAUGUUUCACCUGCUGUUUCACAAUGAAAUUGAAAACCAGGAGACCAGGCGAGAGCUGCAGUCCUUCCAGUCCACCGUCUUCAUCCCGUCUCCUCUGUGGACCCUCCUUCUUAACAGACACUGCUGGGAUCUUCUGCUCUGAAUCAAGCUUCUUUGGGAUUUUUUAUGAAGACCAUCAGAUCAACUGCAAAUAGGGCCACACCUGAGGCACACUGAGGUUCCAGGUUAGGGCUUGAAUUGAAGCUGCAGCUGCCAGCCUACACCUCAGCAACGCCAGAUCCAAGACACAUCUGUCAACUAUACCACAGUUCAUGGCAAUGCCAGAUCCUUAACCCAGGGAGCAAAGCCAGGGACCAAACCCAUAUUCUCGUGGAGACCAGUCAGGUUCUUACCCCGCUGAGCCACAUGGGAACUCCAGCCCUGGACUGUGAGACUGGACUGUGAAAUAAUUGAGACAGAGUUUCUCCAGCCCCCGUGCCCUUUGCUGGGUGCCUGACGACCAGGUUUUCCUUUGACUCAACCUUCAAAACCAGCUUCGCUCUAGGUUGCCUCACACCCCGGUUUGUCUUAGCUCACGCGGUGCUCUACGACAUCCACCAUCAGACAUCUAGGUGAUUUCUUGAAAAUCACAUAAGGCAGCAGCACACGUCAGGGGGAGCCUGACUGCCCCCAGGGUGGCUGGAAGAUGGGAGACACCAUCAGCAAAUGCUCCCUCGAUCAGCUCUGCAUUCUCUGCUCCUUGACACGCACCAUCAUAUGCCCUGGAACUGGCCAGACAAACGUUUGCUUCUCACUUGCAGGCAGAGGACUGGUACAUAUUCACACAUGCCUCCAAUGGAAGACACGGCUCUAGGUUAAGUUCAGGGUUACACAUGCUUUGCCUGAGGAGCUGAAAACAAAACCUGCCUGUAGUGACAUCACCCCAUAAAGGAACUGGUGACGUUCAUCUGAAGGCUCACUAAUGAGAUACAAAUAUAAAACAACUGUAGCUUCUCUACCCGUUACUGUCUCCUACCGCUUGGACCUAAUUAUAGGAGUCUUGUUAAAACAACUUGAAAACCUUAGAAACCUAACUGGUCCAAUAGUCGAUUAAAUAGAUUAGACACCGGGGAAAAGGAGAUGUGUUUUUUUUCCCAAAGCUGAAUGAAUCCACAGUCCAAAGCUUUGGUCACUGCUGAUAACACGUCUUCCAAAAAGCAGAGUGAGGCUCUUCAGUGACAAUCGUAUAUAGAGAACAGUUCUCUCCAAAGUGAAGCACCAAAAAUCCACUAAAACUUUAUUUUCUCUGUUUCUCCCAAUAUUAUUUUUUGGUUGAUAUGUGUUUGGUUUUCUUGGCCACGCCCAUGUGAUGUGGAAAUCCCCCGGCCAAGGAUGGAACCCGCGCCACAGCAGUGACAACGCCAGAUCCUUAACCACUAGGCCACCAGGACACGCCAUUCCCGUUAUUAUCUCCCCUUUUCUCCCCUAACAUUGAAUAAAUACAGUUGUUUUAA